rnacentral:rRNA from 1 species
AGGAUAAACGCUGGCGGCGUGCUUCAGGCAUGCAAGUCGAACGAACACUUCGGUGUUAGUGGCGGACGGGUGAGUAACACGUAAGUAACCUGCCCAGAAGUGGGGAAUAACUAGCCGAAAGGUUGGCUAAUACCGCAUAUGAUGGCACUUCCCUGGAGGGGUCAUCAAAGGAUUUAUUCGCUUUUGGAGGGGCUUGCGGCCGAUUAGCUUGUUGGUGGGGUAAUGGCCUACCAAGGCGACGAUCGGUAGCUGGUCUGAGAGGACGGACAGCCACACGGGGACUGAGAUACGGCCCCGACUCCUACGGGAGGCAGCAGCUAGGAAUCUUGGGAAUGGGCGAAAGCCUGACCCAGCAACGCCGCGUGGGCGAUGAAGGCCUUCGGGUCGUAAAGCCCGUUUUUCAGGGGAAGAUUAUGACGGUACCCUGAGAAUAAGCCACGGCUAACUACGUGCCAGCAGCCGC